GUCUAUGGCCAUGCUACCCUGAAUAAACCUGAUCCUGUCUGAUCUCAGAAGCUAAGCAGGGUCGGGCCUGGUUAGUACUUGGAUGGGAGAACACCUAGGAAGACCAGGUACUGUACGUG
rnacentral:rRNA from 1 species